CCUACGGGAGGCAGCAGUGAGGAAUAUUGGUCAAUGGGCGGAAGCCUGAACCAGCCAAGUAGCGUGCGGGAUGAAGGCCCUACGGGUCGUAAACCGCUUUUGUACGGGGAUAACACCCUCCACGUGUGGAGGUCUGCAGGUACCGUACGAAUAAGGGCCGGCUAACUCCGUGCCAGCAGCCGCGGUAAUACGGAAGAGCCGAGCGUUAUCCGGAUUUAUUGGGCUUAAAGGGAGCGUAGGCGGGCUGUUAAGUCAGCUGUUAAAUUUGGCGGCUCAAACCGAGCACCGCAGUUGAAACUGGCAGGCUUGAGUACACUACAGGCAGGCGGAAUUCGUGGUGUAGCGGUGAAAUGCAUAGAUAUCACGAGGAACCCCGAUUGCGAAGGCAG
rnacentral:rRNA from 1 species